GACGAACGCUGGCGGCGUGCCUAAUACAUGCAAGUUGAGCGCUGAAGGUUGGUACUUGUACCAACUGGAUGAGCAGCGAACGGGUGAGUAACGCGUGGGGAAUCUGCCUUUGAGCGGGGGACAACAUUUGGAAACGAAUGCUAAUACCGCAUAAAAACUUUAAUCACAAGUUUUAAGUUUGAAAGAUGCAAUUGCAUCACUCAAAGAUGAUCCCGCGUUGUAUUAGCUAGUUGGUGAGGUAAAGGCUCACCAAGGCGAUGAUACAUAGCCGACCUGAGAGGGUGAUCGGCCACAUUGGGACUGAGACACGGCCCAAACUCCUACGGGAGGCAGCAGUAGGGAAUCUUCGGCAAUGGACGAAAGUCUGACCGAGCAACGCCGCGUGAGUGAAGAAGGUUUUCGGAUCGUAAAACUCUGUUGGUAGAGAAGAACGUUGGUGAGAGUGGAAAGCUCAUCAAGUGACGGUAACUACCCAGAAAGGGACGGCUAACUACGUG
rnacentral:rRNA from 1 species